ACGGGAGGCAGCAGUGGGGAAUAUUGGGCAAUGGGCGCAAGCCUGACCCAGCAACGCCGCGUGAAUGAAGAAGGUUUUCGGAUUGUAAAGUUCUGUGAUGGGGGACGAAGAAAGUGACGGUACCCCAAGAGCAAGUCACGGCUAACUACGUGCCAGCAGCCGCGGUAAUACGUAGGUGACAAGCGUUGUCCGGAAUGACUGGGCGUAAAGGGUGCGUAGGUGGUAAUGAAAGUUAGUAGAGAAAUUCCAAUGCUUAACAAUGGAGAUACUACUAAGACUUCAAUACUAGAGUGCAGGAGAGGUAAGCGGAAUUCCUAGUGUAGCGGUGGAAUGCGUAGAUAUUAGGAGGAACACCAGAGGCGAAAGCGGCUUACUGGCCUGUAACUGACACUGAGGCACGAAAGCGUGGGGAGCAAACAGGAUUAGAUACCCUGGUA
rnacentral:rRNA from 1 species